rnacentral:rRNA from 1 species
UCCGGUUGAUCCUGCCGGAGGUUACUGCUAUCGAGGUUCGACUAAGCCAUGCGAGUCGAAUGUAGCAAUACAUGGCGUACUGCUCAGUAACACGUGGACAACCUACCCUUAGGUCGGGGAUAAACCCGGGAAACUGGGUAUAAUACCCGAUAGUCCUCGGAUGCUGGAAUGCACCGAGGUCUAAAGCUCCGGCGCCUAAGGAUGGGUCUGCGGCCUAUCAGGUAGUAGUGGGUGUAGCGUACCUACUAGCCUACGACGGGUACGGGUUGUGAGAGCAAGAGCCCGGAGAUGGAUUCUGAGACACGAAUCCAGGCCCUACGGGGUGCAGCAGGCGCGAAAACUUUACAAUGCUGGAAACAGCGAUAAGGGGACCUCGAGUGCCAGGUUACAAAUCUGGCUGUCGUGAUGCCUAAAAAGCAUUGCAUAGCAAGGGCCGGGCAAGACCGGUGCCAGCCGCCGCGGUAACACCGGCGGCUCGAGUGGUAACCGCUAUUAUUGGGUCUAAAGGGUCUGUAGCCGGCCGGAUAAGUCUUUUGGGAAAUCUGGCAGCUUAACUGUCAGGCUUUCAGAGGAUACUGUCUGGCUCGAGGCCGGGAGAGGUGAGAGGUACUUCAGGGGUAGGGGUGAAAUCUUGUAAUCCUUGAAGGACCACCAGUGGCGAAGGCGUCUCACCAGAACGGACCUGACGGCAAGGGAC